rnacentral:rRNA from 1 species
AGUGAACGCUGGCGGUAGGCCUAACACAUGCAAGUCGAACGGCAGCACAGUAAGAGCUUGCUCUUACGGGUGGCGAGUGGCGGACGGGUGAGGAAUACAUCGGAAUCUACUUUUUCGUGGGGGAUAACGUAGGGAAACUUACGCUAAUACCGCAUACGACCUACGGGUGAAAGCAGGGGAUCUUCGGACCUUGCGCGAUUGAAUGAGCCGAUGUCGGAUUAGCUAGUUGGCGGGGUAAAGGCCCACCAAGGCGACGAUCCGUAGCUGGUCUGAGAGGAUGAUCAGCCACCCUGGAACUGAGACACGGUCCAGACCCCUACGGGAGGCAGCAGUGGGGAAUAUUGGACAAUGGGCGCAAGCCUGAUCCAGCCAUACCGCGUGGGUGAAGAAGGCCUUCGGGUUGUAAAGCCCUUUUGUUGGGAAAGAAAAGCAGCAGGUUAAUACCCCGCUGUUCUGACGGUACCCAAAGAAUAAGCACCGGCUAACUUCGU